rnacentral:lncRNA from 1 species
GUGGUUAAAGGGUUCCAGCCUAAGCAAUACCAGGCUCUAGGAGGAGGAGCUAACACUGUGGCUCAUGGUUACACCAAGGGAAGUGGUCUUGGAGCUGAGAUCAUUGGCACAUUCGUUCUUGUAUACACAGUCUUCUCAGCAACUGACGCCAAGAGAAAUGCUCGUGACUCUCAUGUCCCUGUAAGUUACCACUCCUUGUAACAUAUCUGCUAAUAGCUUCUUGAAACAAUUGAAAUGAGUGAACUUUUAAGCUGCCUUUAGUGUGACUCUCAUGUCCCCGUAAGUAACCAGUCCAUGUAACAAUUGCUAGAAACAAUUGAAAUGAGUGAACUUGAAGCUGCCAUUAGUGUGCACUAAAGACUGAUUCUCAAUAUUGGAUUUGUUGCUUACCGGCUUGAGUUUUGUAAUAAUUGUGCAGAUUCUUGCACCACUCCCAAUCGGGUUUGCGGUUUUCUUGGUUCACUUGGCAACCAUCCCAAUCACUGGCACAGGCAUCAACCCAGCUAGAAGCCUUGGAGCUGCAAUCAUCUACAACAAAGACCAUUCCUGGGAUGACCACGUGAGUUUCCACACACUAUAUACCAAAUCGCAUUCCAAACUCGGUUUCGAGCAUUUUUCCCUGACAAUUUCGUUUUUUUUUGUCGUCAUUCC